AGCUGCACCUCCACUCGGGAGGUUGUUAUCAAUUUAUCACUCUGCUUUCGUGGAGGGAGUUCAAACGGACUUCAAGAUUGAACCAUCGUUUGGAGUUGAAGCCUCGCAGCUUUAUCCUGAUGUCAAGUACACUACAGUUGAUGAGUACCUCAAUCAGUUUGUGUAACCCUUCUCUGCUUCCAGCUGCAGCUUGCAGGAUCUUGGACUCUGGGUAAAUAAAUAAUGGGCUUGUUGCAAUCUUUGGUUUUUAUAUGUAAAAAUUAUGGUUGUUGGCCUUACUUUCUUCUGGUUGUCAAUGGAAUUUGUAAGACCAUUUUAUGUUUGCUAUGUCAGUGAUCAAAUGAAGUAGGCCAUGUACUUGAUCUGAGAAUAAUUAUAAAGCCAACAUGGUCAGGUGAGUGCGUCUGUGGGGCUUUUAUUAGGGUGCGUGUGUGAGGCUUCUGAGGGGCUUGUGAUAUGGGGUCUACAGCCCCUAAUGGGCACGCGACUGCGUGCACUAAAUGAAGUUAUUAUAAAAAUAAUUAUAGAGUCACCAAGGCAAAAAUUAAAAGUAAUUUGCCAAUAAAAAUAGUUAAAAGUAAUAAAAAGUAGGUAUUAUAUUUCAAAAAUCAAUUUUUCAUUAAUGUUUAUAAGAUUAAAUUUGUUCUUAUCUUUCCUUAAUAAACACAAAAAUUUAUCGUUUUGGACUAAUUAAAAUUUUAAAACUAGCUAACAAGCAAACCGCCAUUAAUUUUUUUUUUUCCAUUUCUUUAAUCAUUCUUUUUUCUCUUUUUGACCUUUUUCUUUUUCUUUUCUUCAGUCCUUAUUUUUCUUUUCUUUUUUGGUUUUCCUCUAAACUCUUUAAGAAAGGCUGCCAAGCCUUGAAAAUAUCUCAAAAAAUAAGAUUUUCUUUCUUAAGAUUAACAUUUUAACCACAAAAAUAAAACUCUAGUCCAAACAUUGAGCACUUACAAAUCAAACGAUAAAAACCUCUUAUUAGUACAUUAACCGUAAAAUAAAAAAGAAUUAUCACAAAUAUUGAAAUGUUGUUGUUUGAUGCUUGAGAUUCUUGAAAUGUAUGCAGAAUUCCGACAAUAUUUUGUUGAAGCAACUCUCGGAAACUUGUUUGUUGAGAUUGAUGAAGAGUCCAUGGCAAGUAACCAGGCAUAUUGCAAUCCUUGUAAUUAUUCUGACCGAGAACAAUAAAACAAAAAGUGAAAACUGAAGAAAAUGAUAAGAAAACAAUAGAAUAAUAAUAUUAAAAACUCGCUAAUCUUGCCCAAUUUUUUUUUUUUUUGGAUAAUGUUCAGCGUAUACUAGAAUCUUUUAGAGCAGAAGCAAAACAGCAACAACUUUUCAAGAAAAGAAAAAAAAAAAGAAUUAUUAAAGAAAAUGGAAAAAAGAAUUAACGGCAGUUUAUUUGAUAGCUUUUAGAUAGCCAAAACCGGUGAGUUUUUGUGUUUUAAUAAGGAUAGUUAGGAAUAAAUUUAAUCCUCUCUAUAGAAUCAUUUAGUUACUAUGUGUCAAAAUCUCCUGUAAAGAAUAGGAAAAAUUAAAUUAGAAGAGGAUCCAAAUCAGGACUUGACUAGCUUACAGAAUCUGUAAGCUACGGACUGCAGCAUCAGCCGUUGGAUGUGGUUGGAUGUGGAGUGAGAAAUUAAACAAUAGAAGAUCGGAUGGUGGGAUGACGGGAGAUGUUUGUUACAGAAUCUGUACCAUAGACAGGUCCUCCAAAUCAUCAACAUCUUGGAAUAAACAAAAGAAUCUAAACAAAAGAAACUCGUUUUGCGUGUGAACCAGUUCAAGAUAAAGAGCAGACUAUUGGAAAGAGACAAAUACUACAAGAAUAACAAAACAUUCUACAGUUACUACAUAAGCCUGCAACAAUUAAUUAUUAACUCAAGAUUUAUUACACUUUUUCUUUAAUUUGACAAAGAAACCAAAAAUGAAAUAAAAUUGACAACAGCAAUGAUAUGCUUACAACAAUGAGUAUGAAACUUAGUACAACAAGGACCUUUUUGCUAAUUUUUUCAAAUUUUUAUGAUAUUUUAGAAUUUAUGGGUUUUAUUGAUUUUGAUAAAUUGGAGCAUUUCUCCAUUCAUCUUUUCUGCAUCUAUCCCUAAAUUUCUUAUCUUUGUAAAGUUUUAACUAUGUCUUUGUAAAGUUCUAAAUGAUUAUCUCGUUCAUAGAGAUCUAUAGUUAAAUUAAUUCUUGUAUUUAUAAUCAUUUGUCUCCUUUGAGACAUAGACCAAAUUUUUUCUUCUAACAUUCCUAUGUAUAUUCCUAAGCUAUAUUUCCAGCUUAGGUACAUCUUAUCUAGGAUUUCACAAAUAAAUUGUAAUUUGAGAUCUGCAUCUUGAAUCAACAUCACCAUAUUAUUAUUAUUAUUAUUAUUAUUAUUAUUAUCCAUUGUUUUAUACUCGAUUUUGGGUUCUAUUACUAGUCGCACUUGUCUUGGAUUAUUUCAAGGCUAGAUAGAAUUGAUUCUAUUAAUGCUAUCCUGUUUCCUUCUUCAAAUGAAUCGAAUAUUUUUGGAUCAAUAAUUCUUUUCAUUUCUUCAUACAAGUGUUUGCUUGUAAUUAAUCUAGUUUUAACUAUGGAAAUUGUAUAAGCAACUUGAUAUUCUUGACUAAAGUCUAGAUGAUCAAUUGCGUCUAGAAAUUUAUUAACAGAUCUUUCCAUUUUUAUGAAAUUGAGUUACUUUUAUCACUUCCUAUCUUAUAACAUUUCAGAAUACAAACAAGGCCCAACAUGCUUCCAUUUGUUGCUAAAAUAAAAGAAUAGAGUUCAAGAUUACUAACCAGUGUACAUUUCUCGGAAUUCUAAGAUAGAUUCACUAAUUGCCUCCAACCAUAGAGAGGUCUAUGGUUAACUCCGCCAUAGCUCCACACAUCAUAUAAGAUCACUUCAACGACUGUUACAUAGGCCCAACGCAACAUAUAGCAAACGGGCCUAAAAGAAUAUGUCUAAGUGAUUUGCUUACAGCUGUCUCUGGAAGAGUGCUUAGUAGUAGAAAAUCUUCUUCCUUUAGCACAAGUAUUGGCAUGUAAGGUUCUUGGUUAUUUUCUAAGAGUAUAUAAGAUAUCUGGAAGAUGACAAUUUCGCUCAAAAGAGUUUUAUUUAUUUCAUCAUUGAAAUUAUUUACAGAGGAUGGUUACAGAGAAUACAGGUGUAGGUGUAGGUGUAGGUGUAGGUGUAGGUGUAGGUGAAGGUUAGGCAUGUGAUGUCCUUCCCUUCUUACAUGUUUCUAUUUAUAAUCUUAAAUAGAUAAGGUUAUCUCUUUUACAUGACACUUGUUUAAUUCUCUUGGUGGAUUGUGGAUUCUUUCCUGAUAAGGUGACCCUUCUUCUUUUUAUCAUUAAAGACAGUGGUUGUCUUCUUUUCCUGGUGGUAGACAGCCUUUAUCUGGUUGUAGUGUGCUUUAUCUUUUUGGAAUCUUUCUUUUUGAAUUAUUAAUGCUUUUAGGAUAGCACCUUUUAUCUUUUCCAAUGGUUCCUGUCACAUGCCAAGUAUCAAAUCUUCCUCUAGUGACAUGUCUUCCCCACUAGAAUCCUUUUUUGAUCCUUCGUAGCAGUAGCCACAUGAUGACUGAUGUUUUAGCACCUUGCAUACCUCGUGAUGUGUCAGUAAGCUGGAUUCCACGAGAUUUUCAUAUAUUGCCUUUUUCUUUUUUGAUAUGGCCUGUCUGGCUAAAAUGCUUUCUUUUCUACUUAUAGAAAAGAUUAUAUGCUCCUUUGUGGCUUCGUGGAGCCAUAUUUUUUCCUCACUUAUCCUCUCAAGAGAUUCAUAGAGGACUUUCAUUCCUACGGCUCUUUUGCUGGUGAGAGCUUUGGGUUCGAAAAAUUCAGGAUCAUAAUCAUUAUAGACUUGAUCUAUAUCAAUAGUUGGACUAACUUUUUGCUGCUAAUUCUAACUUAAAUCAUGUGCUGUGCUACCACUUGUUUUCACCGUAUUAAGGGCAAGCAGUGAGGAUCUUGAUAAAAAUUAGUUCUUUUGUUUUGGAUAUCCUUUUGUGGUCAUUAACAGCCUCUGUAUUUUUUUCUAGGAGCUCUUUUAUUUUCCUACAAUCAUCACGGACAUAAACAAGGUUAAGAAAACCGUAUUCAAACAUGUCUUUUAUCAAUUUUGGAUAAGCUCCUAGCACAAAUUUUAUCCUUGGGUAUAACCCUGAAUGAUAUGGUAUUAUAGUCUGGUUAUGAUGAAUCACAUAAGUUAUUUUACCAAUUCUUUUAUAAUUAUAAGCGUUGUCGCUUCCUAAUGGAUUUUUAACCAUAGGAACAGACUGUCCGCUUUUAUUAUAUUGGGGCCUUAAGCUCACUGAAGACCUUUGAGAUUCUUCUUUCUUCAUAUAUUAUUCUUUGAGAUCAUUGAUUGUGAGAAAUUUCUCUAGAUGUGUGACCUUUGAGUUCUGUGAAGAACUCUGGGCAAUCUGAUCCUUAGUUUGAUCCUUAAAAUGGACCUUUUUUUAGCAUAUUACUAAUAGAUUGUUAUGAAAUUUGGACUUCUGGAUGAUUUUGCAAACUUUUCUAUAGGCAAAGUUUGCUCAAUUCUUCAUGGGCAUCAUCUAUCAUGGCAAGCCUAUUAUAAAUUAUACCAUUGCCUUUGAGAAGCAAUUCUUGACCUUCAGAGCACAUUAUUAUGCCCUUAAUUAUUUUGGAAAGACCCUUCUCCAUUGUAUUCUCGGCUAAGAAAAUUUGCAAUAGAAUUGUUAGAUCCUUUAAUAUAUUCAAUUUCAAAAUCAUAUUCAGCAAAAAAACCGUUGCCAUUUAAUUAAUCUUUUAUAUUAAGGGAGAUUAGGCAAUUUAUUAAAUAUAAAUCCUUUAACUCGAGUGUUAUCAGAUCUUACCUUGAAUUUCUUUGGUAACAAAAAAAAGUAAAUUUAGCUAUUCCAUUUUUAAUAGUUAACAGUUCAUUUUCAUUACUAUGAUAAUUCUUCUAUGCGGGUUUGAAUGUUCUGGUGGCAUAUCUACAAAUCUUUUCUUGAUCUGUUUUUAAGACUACACCCCAGUAAUUAUCUGAAGCAUCGGUCUCAAGAAUUAAAUUAUCACUAGAAGUAGGGAAUCCUAAUCUUGGAAGAUUUUUACAUUUUUCUUUCGAUUUUUUUACUACUUUGGUAUGGAGAUCUUUCCAUGAUUUAGUAUUAUUCUUUUUUAAUAAUCCUUGUAAAGAUUGUCUUUCUUUAGCUAAGUUUUCUAUGAAACCUUCAGCAUAAUUAAGAUAUCCUAAAAAUAUUUGAAUUUGUUCUUUAGAUUCUAAUUUAUUUGGGAAUAGAUAUAUUUUCCAAAAAUAUGAGGUUGCAUCUCAAUUCCUGUUUCAUCUAUUAUUAACCCUAGAAAUUCUAUCUUGAGUUUCAUUAUUUCAGCUUUCUUUUUAGGGAGUAAUAUUCCAUGUUUCUUGCAUUUCUCUGCAAAAGAAACGAGAUGAUUAAUAAGAUAUAUCUUAUUAUCUGAAAAUAUAAAAAUAUCAUCUAAAUAAACAAUGUAGAAUUCAUGAAAUUCUUUGAAGAUUUGAUCCAUCCUUCUUUCAAAUAUUUUUGGUGCAUUUUUCAAUCCAAAAGGCAUUACAAUCCAUUCAUAUUAUCCUUGAGGUGUACUAAAGGCAGUAAGUGGUAUACUUUCUACUUUAAGUUUGAUAUGUCAAAAUCCAGAUUUGCAAUCAAACUUGCUAAAUGUCUUUUUAUCGGUCACGGAGAUAAUUAAUGUAUCUUUAUAAGGUAAAAAAUAUCCAUUGAAUUUGGUAUAUUUAUUUAAUUCUUUGUAGUUAAUAACCAUGCGAGCUUUUCCUCAUUUAAUUUCUACAUGAUUUCUAACCAUAAAGGCUGGACUACUAUGAGGACUUUUAGAUUUCAAAUAAUCUUAAGUUCUAAUAACUCUUCAAUUUUUUUUAUCAAAUUCUUGUCCAUGUUCUUGCCCAUCUCUCAUAGGCUUAACUCUUAUGAUACCAUUUAGAUCUGUUAAUUCGAUCUUAGCAUAUGUUUAAUCAAUUUCUCAUAAUUGAAUUGGGUUUUCACCAAAAUUUUUAUCAAGUUUUUCUAAAAUUUUUUCAUAGUCUAACAUGAUUUGAAUGAUUUUUAUAGUGUAAUCAACACACUGACUGUGUCGAAAAUGUAAUUUUUGAGUUGUGCGCCUAACAAGGUUAUAAAUUCUCGGGGUAGUAAUGGAAUGAUUACAUGGUGUUUUGAGAGUAAUGGCUUCAUUAGUCAUUAUAUAAAUGAAUUGACGAAGGAAAUUAACUCCUAAAAGUAUAUAUGUUCCCAUAUGAUCAUAAGACCAGAAUAUAGGGAUACUUAAGAUGUAAUCUUCGAUUUGGAUUAAAGUCUUAAUCCUACAAGUCCCUAAGGUGAUCUGUUCAUCAUUUGUUCCUUAUCCUUUUAAAGGCUUAUAAUCUUUCCAAUAUGGUUUUGGAUAAAUCCUAGAACUGGCAAAACUAACUCCUAAACCAGUAUCGAUUAAAGCAUAAAACCAUUCCAGUUUAUGUUUAUAAUAUGGUAUAAUCACUUUUAUAUAAAUUAUAAAAGGAUUAGACAUAUCUUGAUAUGGUUUGCUUAAUUCCUUCAAUUGUUAUACUUAUUUCUCUAUCUCCUGUACAAUAAGGAGAGAAAUUCUAAAGAAAGUUCAUCCCUAAUAAUAAAGGAUUUAUUUCUGUUUCAUAAUAUGGUUCUAUGAAAAAAGGAAAGAUGAAUUUUGUUCCUUUUAUUUUUAAUGGUAUUUUACAAUAUUUUCUUAAUGUCUUUCUUUCUCUAUUAAAUCCUACAUAAGUAUGAGGUUCAAUUAGAAUUUUUCUUUCUAAAUAUUUAAUCAUUUUAGCAUCUACAUAAGAUUUUGUAGCUCAUGUAUCAAGGAUAGCAAAAGUCUCGUGCCAUGAUUUUCCAUUAUUAUAGUCAAUCUUAAUUUUUAGAUUUUGAUUAUUUUUUCUAAUUGUGGCUAAUAUUUCAUGUGAUGGUGGUGUCACAAGAUGACUACAUCUAGUAAAACUUUGGGUUCCUCUGAAUUUUGGUUCUCUUUUGGGUAUAGAGAAUGAUCUUUUAUGUCUUAUAAUGAUUCUUCCUUCUGGAGUAUAUUCUAUAGAUUUAGUAGUAUUUCCUUUAAUCAGAGUAGGUUGACUACUUAGAUUCAUUUUCCAUUCUUAUGAUAAAUAUAUUUCUCUCUGGAUUUCAGGAUAUUUUAUAUUUCUAACUUUACUAAAUAAUUUAUCUAUUUCAAUAAAAUAUUUAUUAGCAAACAUUUCACUAUUUGCUGAAUUUGUUAAUGCAUAUUUUAUGGCAUACAUUAUGCUAUAUGGAUAAGACCCCUCAUGCAUUAUAUCAAAGUAUUUAAAAUCAUGACAUAAGGUUAAUGUUUUAUUUAUAUUUCUAUCCCUAAGACUUAUAGAAUAUUUAGGAUAUAUCUUAAAUAUCAAUUUUUUAUAACUCAAGUUUCCUUGUAUUAUUCUAGGGACUGCAUGUUUUCGAUCUUGUAUUCUAUUAUCUAGUACUGCUAAAAUUAUUGGACUAUCUAUUCCUUCCCGAAAAUGAGCUUUUAUCAUAAACUGAAUUCCUCCAAUAUGAUCAUAUCCAAUUUUGGGUCUAUUGCUAGAUUUUAUCUUACUGAUUUUAUCUUCUAUAUCAGUCUUUAAUAAUAAUGGUAUAUUUGUAUUUCCCUUAGCAUACCUAAUUUCAAUAUGUUCUUCUCACACAGUAGCACUGAAAUACAUAACAUUUUUUCUUUUAAUCAUGGUGGCAAUUCCUAGAGCUAACUUAUUGACUGAAGUCAAGGAUGAUUCUAAUCAUUUUUUUGUUAAUCUUGAGGUAUUGUUUUUUUUUUUUAUCAAAGAUUAAUUCUUUGUUAAAAGAACCUUGUUCUUCUAAUUCUUCAUCUUGAUAUAAAUGCUUAUUAUCUAAUUCUUCUAUACUCAUUCCAAAUAUGAUUUUGAAUCUGAGCUACUUAAAGUUUCUUCAGAAAGAUAAUAUAUGCUAUCACUUUCACUAAUACCUUCACUAUCUGUGAUUAAUUCUAAAUCAUUAAAAUCCUCAAACAUUUUUAUAUUUUCUUUUUUCUUUUUAGGACAUUCAUUUGUAUAAUGCCCUUCUUCAUUACAUAACCACCACUUGCAUUCUUUAACUACAUUGGUUUUAAAUCUUCUUUUAAAUUUAUUUUUCUUGUAGAAUUUCUUCUUAUAUUUAUUUUUCUUGUAAUAUUUCUUGUUGCCUUUAAAGAAUCUCUUCUUUUUGAAUUUAUUCCUAUAUUUAUAAGUUUUAUCUGAACAUCCAAAUCUUGGUGGAUCUUCUAACUUAGAGCAAAACAAUCCUUGAUUUAGCCUUUUCAUAAGUCUGUUAUCUCUUAUUUCAGCACACCAUUCACUCAUUCUAUUUCGAGCAAACCUAAUCUUAUUUCCUAAGGUAUCAGUCUCUGUUGUAUCUUCAUAUUUGUUGUUAUAUUCUAGCAUAAUCCUUUUCUCCCAUGGGUCUGGUAUCCUUAUAAAAUAUAGAUCUUAGUAAUAGCAUAUGCUACUUUCAUCUAAUUCACAUUUAUAAUAUAAUUCUUCAAAGCUACACGUGUAUUCUUCUAAAUAACAUAUAUUACAUAUUUCAAGCCUUGUUAGUUUUAUUACAUUUUCCAUCUUUUUUUCACUUUAUUUCUUAUUGAAAACCAGUUUCUCAAUCUUCUCCUAGGAAUUUUUUUCUUAUUUCAUUUUCAAAUCUAUUUAAAACUUGAUCCAAGCUUUCAUUUUGAUUAUUAUUUUCUCCAUACAAUAUUUUAUUUUUGUUAUUAUCGUUUAGUCCCAUAAACGAAUGUGACACUAUUCCUACAAAUGAAGUUUUAAGGAAUUCUAUACUAUUAUUCCUAUCUAUUUUGUUAAAUACAAAUGCCGUUUUCAUAGAUUUAACCCAAGCGAUAAUCGUUUUAUCUCUAUCUUUGACAUAGUCUAAAUCUAACCAUACUCCAUCAUGGUUGAUUGGUCUCUCUCUAUAUUUUCCUGGAGUUUUAUAAUUUUUUUAGGCUUGUUAACCCUAAAAUAUUGAUGUUGUGAUCUUUCAUGAGCUAGUAUUUCUUCUCUAGUAUAGGAAGCUCUAUUACUAGAUUCUCCUUGUUAAAAAACCGUUGGUUUUGAUUCAUUCAUUUUUAAUUGUUCUAUUCUAUUUUCAAUAUCUCAUAAGUUAAUGAGUACAUCCUCUUCCUCUUCGGAUUUAGAUUCUUCAUUGGAUAUUUCUGGAUUGUAUAAUUCUUUUAAUCCAUUGUCUACAUUUUCACUUAGCAUCCUUAAACUUAUUAAUUUUUUAUCUUAGUUUUUUGUUAAAUAUUGUCUAGAUAUUGCUAUCAUUUCUUUAUCUUUCUUUUCGUUGUAGUAAAUUAUGGUGUCUUGUAAGGUUUUAUUUUUUUUUCUUGAAUUACCAUGAGUAAUUCUUCCAUAUUGUUAUUUAUCUUUUGUAUUUCAAUCCUUUUGUAGUUUUCUAUGAAAAAUUAUUUCUAUACACCUCUCUCCUAAUUCUAAAUAGGAGAAUAGGAUCGAUGUUUAAAUUUCUAUUCUUUAUUAUUUUGAGUUCUCCAAUUCUAAAUUCAUGAGCUCUAGAUAAAUAAAAUUGUUCUAAUUGUUUAUCAUCUAAUAUCUCAAGUUUUGAAUAAUAAUAUUGUUUAUGUUUAGUUAUGUUAUCCUUUAUAGUAUUACUAUCUACCAUUAGAUUAUAUCCCCUAUUAUUAAUAAAAUAAACAAUUGUUUCUUCCAUUUUUAUAUUUUGAACCAAAAAUCUGGUUCUGAUACCGUUUUUGCAGACAAUUUUCAAUCCUAAGAUCCAAGUAAGGAUGUAAAUGAUUAAUCUUUAAAAUCUUAUGAAUAUUUUACAAUUUUGCUUUUUUAAAACACACAGUUUUAUGCUAGGUGUUGUGCAAUCUUUUGUAAAAAUUCAUGAACCAAUACUAUAUUGACUUCUCCUAAAAUGCAUAGGUUUGUUAUGAAAUUCUAAGUGUACAACCCAAAAAGUGGGGUGAAUUGGGUUUUUAAAAAUUUAAGCAAUUAUAACCACACAAAAAUUUCAAUUAAUGUCUUAUUUGAUUCAAUAACAAUAAUUUUAACAAUGAAUAAAGUAAAGAGAUGAGGGAGAAGAGAGCAAACAUGAGAUUUUUACAUGGUUCAGCAAAACCUGCCUACGUUGACGCCUCCAAGCUCACUAUGCUUGAAGAUUUCACUAUCCAAGCAUUACAACCCUAAGGCUUCAAGAUGCUUACAAUUGAUUUCUAAGGUUUCCAUGGACCUUUACAUCCAGAGGUUCUCUCAAACCUCUUAACCAAGUGUUUCUCACACUUACAACCACUUAAUUGUGAUAUUGAAAAAAAGUUACACAAAUUUUCCACUCACACAAUAUAUGUGUUUACAACUAAAAGCCUAGAGUGUGUUUCAAUGAAAGAAUAAAAACAUUUAAGCUCAAGACAGAUUAAACAUGCAAAAGUAAGCUCAAUGCCAAUUUUUGAAUUCGUUAUUGAUUGAAUAUGAUUAAUCCUUUUGAUAGUUGGAGCUGAAAACUAGCCGUUAUUGACUUUCUGCACAAGGUCGGAUCAUCGUUAAUACUUAUCGGACUGCUGUUUUGACUUGAUCAAGUUACCGUUAGGCGAAAAUCUAAAUUUUCGGAUCACCAUUUUCGAGACAUUGAAUUGUUGUUAGUUUCUAGUAACAUUGCGAGAAAAUAGUUGGCUUACCGUUUUCAAAAUGUCAUAUCGUCGUUAGUUUCCAAAUCCAUUCGAUGUCGGUUAGCCAUUUGCUACAUUAACUGCUACAUUGAAACUAUUUUUUAAAAUUAUAUUUUUGCCAUGCUUUCUAUAAUUAUACUGUAGCCCAAAUCUUCAUAAUACUUUACAAAUAGGUCCAUUUUCAGAGUUUCAAAACAUACUUUUUAUUUCCAAAACUUUAUGAAAUUAUACUAUAACCCAAAAAUAUAUAAAAUAUUUCAAAUAGGUUCAUUUCUAGAAUUUUAAAACAAUACUUGUUGAUUUCAAAGUUCUCAAAACUUUUUAAAUUUAGAGCAUUAACUUCAAAAUAACCAAUUUCAUAAAAUCAUUUUUUUCAUUAAGAUUUAUGAAAAAUGACUUGAGCUUUUAAAUGCUUAAGCAUGCAUAUAUUUAAUCAUACUAGCUUUACAAGAAAUGUAACAAGAGAAAUCACCUAAGCUAGUACCUCUAAUGCUUGUUCUUGACUUAGUGAGCUUUUUACCUUCGUCUAUUUGAGUGCCUUGAACUUGAUCACACACACACACACACACACACACACACACACACACACACACAUAUAUAUAUAUAUAUAUAUAUAUAUAUAUAUAUAUAUAUAUAUCAUUUUAUCCUUUUAUCCUUAACACGUGGUUUGUUAUUAUCAAAACCCAAGUUCGUACAACCGCUUAGGCCAACAUGUUACUCCCAAUCAAUUGACUUCUGACAUGACUACUUCCAAAAUGGCUAGUACCAAAAGGGAAUCCUUCUGGGAUGAGAAUUGAAAAACAUGCCUCUUCUAGCACUAAAAUUACUCCUUCCACCUAUAUUUCCACUAUAAUGUCCUUAAAAUCCUCCGGCAUAUCCACCUCUUUUAGUAUUGCCUCCUAUUUGUGCAUGAUAGUAAUUAAUUAUGCCAUAGUUAUUAUGGUUAGCAAAGUUAGCACAAUUUGCAUUGAAUAUGUGUUUUUCAUUAUGACUUUGUUCAAGUCUUGCCUCUUGAGUAAGCAAUAGAGCAUACGCACCAUCAUAAUAUAACUUGCUAGCAGUAAUAAAAGUAGAUAAAUGCAGAUGGCUAGCUCCAAAACUAUUGAGAAUUUGUUAAACAUAUCUUUAUCAGAAAUAGGACUACCAACACAUGUCAAUUUAUCUGCUAUUUAUUUAAUCUUUAAGCAAUACUCUUCUAUGCUUAGUGACUUUUUUUCUCAAAGCAUUCAUCUCAUAUCUCAUUUGAAGAAUCCUACCCUCAUAAUGUUGCCUAAACUUUUUCUGUAAUGUUUUUCAUACAUCAAGUAAGGUGUUAUAAGAAUGAACAAGACCGAGAAUACCUUCAGUGAUAGAGCUGAGUAACUAGCUAAGUAAUGUGUGAUCUUGAGAUCUCCAAACAAUGAACUCAGGAUUUUCAAUCUGUUAAGUAGAUGCAGCAACUGCUCUAGCAUAGCUGAUGAAUCAAUGAAUUGAUUUGGUGCUUCAUUUUCUCUAGUUAUGUAUCCUUCGGUUUCCUCUUAUAAAAGCUAGAACUUGAUUUUGCCACAGCAUGUAAUUUGAUCAAUCGAAUGUGAUUGGAGUGAUGAAACAGAAUGUUGUUUGCAUUGAUUGAUUUGUAGAGAUUGCAAUUGAAUUUGUGCUUACAUUGCUUGAGCUUGCCAUUUUGGCUCAGAUACCAUGAAUAAAUUAUUGGAAGUUGAGUUAUAGUUGCUGUUUAACAGCUGAGAAAAUAGAGGAAAAUUCUCUGGAAAUUCUAAAUGUUUCCUAUUGAGCAAACGAAAGAUUAACAUACUAUAUAUAUACAAGUUUCUAAAUUGUUUCUAGCUAAUUUACAGUACAGCUAAUCAAUAGAUUUGAUCCAAAGUAAAACUAAUUAGUUUCACACAUAAGGAGCACGUGAAUCCAUCAUCGUUGCAUAAUCGAACAUGUUGACUUAGCUGCUGACUUGGCAUUGACAGCUGAUUUGCUUCUUUUUUGUAACUCUGGAUAGUGUGCUUUCUUCACAAGUUUCCCCAAAUCUCCAUUAUGUACAGCUUCUGCAAAAAUUUCCUAACCAAACCAUUUAUUUGUAAUUUCCUCUUGUGUUGGCCCUAUGCCAUCAUCAAGUGGUACCGUGAGAGGAUUUCCAUCUAGAUUACCCUGAUCUUUGUCUGAAUCAUAACUAGUAUGCAUAGUGUUUUCAUCCUCAUCACCCUGCGCAGCCAAAACAAAAUGCUUAACAUUACAUAUACAGUAAAACCUCUCUAUAGUCAUAUUGUUGGGAUUAAACUAAUUUUAUUAAUAUGAAGAUGUUAUAAACUUAAUGGAAAUUCAGUGACAAAUCUAUUGAUUAGCUGUGCUACUUUGAUAAUUAAUUAAUGAAGCAUGUCAAAUCUAAUGCAUUGACAUUGAUAAAAGAGGUAAACAUAUAAUUUAAAAAACUAGUACUUAUAUCUAUCAUCUGUGUAGUAUUGGGAACAUGCAAAGUCUUCUUAUUGAAAAUCUAAAGAAUAAAUUAUUAUCCAAAAUAAUUUCAGAAAAAUAUUAUAUUUCAUCUUAAAUCUUUCAUGUAACAUAGCAAAUUUUUUUUUUUUUUGCUCAAUAUACAUAUUAGUAAUACUGUGUGGAUGCGUGUUCCUUAAGAUAUGCUCUAUAAAAGUUGUUAACUUAUUACAAUGUGAAGUUUGUUCUUAUUUAUAAUUGGCUUAAAGCAGGAAUAAGAUUUUUUGUGACUAUUGGACGUUGUUCUUAUAAAAUGUAUCACUACAGAGAGAUUUUAUUAUAAUUCUAAACCGAGAAAAGAAAGUGUAAUCCUAAUAAAUCACCAUCGAUUAGAGCUAUAAUGAAUUAAGCUUUACAAAGAAGAAGAAGAAAGAUUACAAUGUGAAGGCAACAAGAAUCAUGACAAAGUGAGAAAAAGAGAGGCCACAUAAGCCCCAAGGGAAAUUGAGAUUUUAUAACACAGCCUAAUUGCAGAAAGCAUAGGCGAAAAACAGGUGCUUGAUUGCAAACAUGCACACGCGCGCGCGCACACACAAUUUGACCACAAAGACCGCAUACCUUUGAGAGUUGGUCCUCUGGGGCAUAGGCAUUUUUCGCACGUUUUCGUGCUUCCUCCUUUUAUGGCCACGUAGUUUUCGUAAGCUUGAUCAAGAAACUCCUCCAAUUGUUCAUCAUACCUAACACCAAAAAAAUGUCAUAAGAUCACAAAGGCAUAAGUUGAUAGAUAUAUUUGUCAAGAUAAUGCGACAGAAGAUAUAGGUAGAAAAGAAUUACUUUCUGCAUUCUUUAUCAGAGUCACUGUCACUGGACAAUUGCUCUUGAGUGUCUCUAUCGGGUCUCUCAUCUUCACAGCCCUCUGCAGUAGCAUUCUCAUCAUCAUCAUCAUAUUCAACAGCAGCAAGAUCUUUUUUACCCUAAACCGAUCAUUCAAGUUUAUAAAAGAAUGAGAUACUUGCCUUAGACCACACUUUUGAAUUGGAAAAAACUAAUAAAUCAAAAUUGCAACUAAUAUUGUCCUACCCAGCCAUUUUUCAUUUAUCCUGAUGUCAAGUACACUACAAUCGAUGAGUACCUCAGUCAGUUUGCGUAACCCUUCUCUGUUGAGUUGUAGCUUGCAGGAUAUUGGGAAAUAAAUAAUUGGCUUGUUGCCAUCUUUGGUUUGUAUCUGUAAACAUUAUGGUUGUUGGCCUUACCUUCUUUUGGUUUUCUAUGGAAUUUGUAGCACCAUAUUUUGUCCACUAUGUCAGUACACCAGUGAUUAAACAAAGUAGUCUCAUGUGCUUGAUCUAAAAAUAAUUAUAAAGUCACCAUGUGGUUGAUCUAAAGAUAAUUAUAAAGUCACAAACACAGAAAAAUUAAAAGUAAUUCAUAAACAUUUGUCAUGUGAAAUUUACUUAAUGGAAGAGAAAUUCUAGGAAACAACUUUAUGGUGAGAAAACUCUAAAAAUCAAACCGAAAGAUAUAUAAUAAAUAAUUUUAUAAGAAUUAGGCUAUGUUUCAAAUAAUAUCACAUAUAGUAAAUUUAUGAGUUGUCGCUCAUCAUAACUCAAUUGUUUCACAUAUUGUAAUUCUUUAAUUUUGAAUAACAACAUAUGUUUCAUAAGAUUUAAAAUGGUAUGACUCAUUUUAUAAUAUUUUUAACUGAAUUGAAAUUCUGCAACUAUAAAAAUUGAAAAGAAUGAACUUGGCGGUAUUACGCUUAUAGUAUUGUUUCUUAUGGUGAACCAAAAGCAAGCCAAAAUUACGCUUACAUCAUCUUACUCUACCGUAAAACUUAUUUAUAAUCAUAACGGUAACACUAAAUUAAUUUUAUUACUGUGAGAGUUUAAUAUUUAAUAGAGGUGUAGUUACAAAAAUUAUUAUUUUAACUUAAUUAUUUUUUGUGCAAGUGAUAUAGCGAUAAAAUAUGCACUAUAUUAAUAACUAAUUAAUACAGCAUGUCAAAUUCAAUGUACUAACAAUGAUGAAAAAGAUAGGCAUAGUUUGAAAAAAACUAGUACAUAUAUCUUUAUAGUGCUGGAAUUAUGUAAAAUCAUCUUGAAAGUCUAAAGAAUAAAUGAUUGUACAAAAUAAUUUUAGAAAAAUAUUUUACUUCAUCUUAAACCUUUAACAUAAUAAGGGAUAUAUUUUUUACAAUAUACCGAUAAUUAUUACUAUUAGAGGUAACUUUCUUAAAACCGGAUUUAAAAAAAUUAUAAUUUAUCAUAAUAUAGAGUUUAUUCUUAUUUAUAAUUAUUAGGCUUGAUAAUCGACUGGGUCGUGUUUGGGCCAUGCCAAGCUCUAGCCCAACUAGGGGUGGCAAAACGAAUAAACGAAUCGAAUUUGAAUCGAAUCGUAAACGAAUUGGGUCAAAAUUAUAUGGAUUCGGAUUCGAUUCGUUUAUUAAACGAAUUGAAAUUUCAGGAUUCAGAUUCGAUUCGGUUAUUAAACAAAUAUUCGGUUCAAUUCGUUUAAUUCGUUUAAUAGAAUUGAUAAACGAAUCGAAUCGAAUCCGGAUUCGUUUAUUAUUCGCUUAUCCUUUACGAAUCCAUAACGAAUCGAAUCGAAUCAGGAUUCGUUUACAAUUCAUUUAGAAAAAUAUAAUUAAUAAACAAAAUUAAGCAAAAAAAACACAAAUUUAAUAUCCCACAACAAAAUACAAAUAAUUCAAAUCAUAUUAUACAGUCAUCCAAAUACUAAAUUACAAAUCCUUAAUAUUACAAAUAACAAUAAUUCAAAUUCAAAUUAUAAAGAAAUGUAAUUUCUUUAAUUCUCUUCAUUUGUCUUUGUCGCCUUGAAAACAAAAAUCCUACACCAAAAAGUAAAUAAAAUGUUAUUAACAUGCUGCAAUAUUGAUAAUAGUCAUUGUAAAAUUUCAAAAAUCAAAUAUAUAGCAAAUUUGUAGCAUUUUCAAGAAAAUAAUAAUUAAACAAGAUAAAAACUUUACCUACCACACUCACACACUGUCAUUUGGAUCAUUGGCACUCUCUGCAGAUGGAGCACAAUUAGUGCUCAUGUUCAUAAUGUUUUGAGUAAGUUGGUCCACAGUGACAUCCAAAUUUUCUACAAUAAUUUUAUAAAAAUAAAUCUUAAUUAGAAACAAUUGCACAUAAUAUUAUAAAAGAAAAGUAAAUAAAUUUUAUGAGCAAGUUUUACCAAUCUCUCCAAACUUCCAAUCUCUAGUAGUAAUAAUUGCUUGAACUAUCUCUAGUAGUAAUAAUUACUUGAACUGUCUCUGGCUUCAAUACACUUCAAAAUUGAUCAAGAACUCAACCGCCAAACAACAACAAAACAACAGUAAAACAGCAACAAAAUAGCAGCAAAAUAGUAGUAAAACAACAACAAAAUAUCAGUAAAAUAGCAGUAAAACAACAACAAAAUAGUGGAAAAAUAACAAAAAAAAUGGUAGCGAAACAGCAGCCAAACAACAGCAGUAAAACAGCAGCGAAACAGCAGUAAAACGACAGUAAAAUAGCAGUAAAUCAGCAACAAAACAACAGCAAAACAGUAAUAAAACAGCAACAAAACAGCAACAAAACAACAGCAAAACGGUAAUAAAACAGCAAUAAAAGGCAAAUUUUCAGUGGUGUACCGUGAUGGUGGGUAGUUAGCGCGGCGGGAAGUGGUGCUGGGGAUGAAAACCUUCAAAUUUUAAAAAGCUUUCAAAUAAAUUUAAGGAUAAAAAAGUAAUUUAAUUAAACGAAUAAUAAACUAAUCGACCCGUAUUCGAUUGGUUUAUGACCGAUUUAUUAAACGAAUAAACGAAUCAAAAUUUUCAAACCUGCAUUCGAUUCGUUUAAUUAACGAAUCGAAUCGAAUUCACCCAUUUAUUAAACGAAUCAAUUUUUUCAAACUCAAACCCAUUUAAUUUGCAUCGAAUCGAAUCAAAUAAACGAAUCCUGACCCAUAUUGCCACCCCUGCCCAACCCUAUGAUUAAAAUGAAGGACUCUAAUACUAAAAAGCUUGACCCUUCAAACUAAAGAACAACCUGGCUUUAAUAAUUUUUUUAUAUUUUAUUUUUUUUUUUAAGAAUAUGACUCCUAUUCUUCAUUCUUUAGUAAUAUUAUUAUUAUUAUUAUUGUUCCUUUUUUUUGUUGGAUUUGUUUGUAAGGAAUUUAAUAAAUUAUUUUUUAUUUAACUUAACAACAAUAGAACGUUUAACAAUCUAACAAAAUUAAUAUAUUAACCAAGCAAUAGGUAAAUAAAUCAAAUACAAAAUAACAAAAUUAAUAUGAAAUAGAGAUAAAUAUCCCUAAAGUGUAGUUGUGACCAUCUAUGUGUAUGUGUGUUUAAUAAUAUUUUUAUUUUAAAAAUUAAUUUAAAGAUCAAGAGUUGAGUUAAAACAUUUUGGUAAAACUUUAACCCUAACCCAAAUGUAAUUAGGUCCUGAUUCCUUAAGCCCUAACCCAACGUUUAACCUUUCAAAUUCGAGUCAAAACCAUUAAAAUUAAGAUCGAAUCAAUCAAGUCGAGGGUCGGAUAAAACCUUUUUGUCAUCCUAAAAAUUACCCUAAAUUAAAAUCAAAAUUUUUUAAAAUUAUAUAAAAAUUAUUCUUAUACACAGUAACAAUAUACGACCCAACAAGAAAUGAACCUGGACGCAUUAGGGCUUUGAUCCACAAACAAACUUUCAAAACCCUCUUAGACCUCAAGAGCAUUUUAGUCCAUUUAAUCAAAAGUAAAAGUGCGGCUACCAGCUAACUCUCCGGAAUUGAACUGAACGAGUUUCAGAAAUGGCAUCGAAAAGCAAGAUUCUAUCCAUCGGCGGGACAGGGUAUAUCGGUAAAUUCAUCGUGGAAGCUAGCGUGAAAGCCGGCCACCCGACGUUCGUGCUCGUGAGGGAAUCCACAGUCUCUGGUCCUUCCAAAUCUCAGCUCCUCGACCACUUCAAAAACCUCGGCGUCAAUUUCCUUGUCGUGAGUUAUCAAUUUUUUUUUUCAUUUUUUUAAUUCCAAAUUUUGACACGUGGCGGUGUAGCCUCUACUUGAUAGACUUGGUUUUUUUUUUUAAUUUAAUUUUUGUGGGUGCUGUUAUUAUUAUGCAGGGAGAUGUUUUGAAUCACGAGAGUUUGGUGAAGGCGAUAAAACAAGUGGACGUGGUGAUAUCAACAGUUGGUCACACUUUAAUAGCCGAUCAGGUCAAGAUUAUUGCUGCCAUUAAAGAAGCCGGUAACGUUAAGGUAUGACAUAAUUAAUGUAAAUGUCUUAGAUUCCGAUCAGGAUUGUGCACUCGUGCACACGUGGUGAUUUAUUCUUCGUGUGGAGCUCGCUGUAGAGUAGAGCUCCCAGUUCCGCUAAUAAACACCCGUCACAUGCGCAAUUGCGCCUCAAAAUAAUUUAAUUAAUUAAUUAGGUAUAAACACCGAUGGCAUGAAAGCAAUUAAAAUUAGUUGAUGUUUAUAAAUUAUUUAUUACUCAGAGAUUCUUCCCAUCGGAAUUUGGAAAUGAUGUUGAUCGAGUCCAUGGCGCCGUGGAGCCAACAAAAUCGACGUAUGACGUAAAGGCGAACAUCCGCCGAGCCGUUGAGGCAGAAGGCAUUCCGUACACGUACGUAGAAUCUUAUUUUUUUGAUGGCUACUUCCUCCCUAAUUUGUUGCAGCCUGGGGCCACUGCCCCCCCUAGGGAUAAGGUUGUCAUCUUCGGCGAUGGAAAUCCAAAAGGUAACAUAAUUUAAUUAAGCUCUGUUUGUUUGGUAUGUAUUUCGGUGUUAAUGUUAUUGUCUGUUGUACAAUGGAUGGUCUUGCUUGGUACUGUUGUUGGAGAGCUGCAGUGUUUUGAUAAACACCUCUAUCCUUAGCUUUCAAGUUAAGUUGAUUUUAUACAACACUUGUUUAAUUAAAAACUUGUAAUAUUCUUACUACUUUGAUAAAAAAAAUAUUACGAUUAAAGUAUUAAUGGCACCAUAAUACGAAGUGAAUCUUAAGUGGUCAUUAUAGAUUUUAAGAUAGAGUUUUAAGUGAUUACCAGAUACUUUAGCUGCUGAACCGCCACAUCAUGGUUGCCACACAACAAUUUCAAACAGAGCCUAAAUAACUUCAUUGCAAAACAGUUAAAUGAAUCUAACUUAGUUUCGUCGUUUGAUUUUCAGCUGUUUUUAACAAGGAAGAUGAUAUUGGAACCUACACUAUCAAAGCGGUUGAUGAUCCGAGAACCUUGAACAAAAACUUUUACAUUCAGCCUCCCGGUAAUAUUUACUCAUUCAAUGAUCUUGUGUCUCUGUGGGAGAGAAAGAUUGGUAAAACCCUCGAAAAGGAGUAUGUUUCAGAGGAGCAGCUCCUAAAGAAUAUUCAAGGUUGGUUAAAACUCUCUUUUUUAAAUGUAUUAAAGAGAGCCGUAUAUUCUCUGCCGUAAAUGUUAUUGAUCCUGUCUUCUCCAAAAUGUUGCAGAAGCUGCAUCUCCACACAAUUUUAUAUUAUCAAUUUAUCACUCUGCUUUCGUGAAGGGAGUUCAAACUAACUUCAAGAUUGAACCAUCUUUUGGAGUUGAAGCCUCGCAGCUUUAUCCUGAUGUCAAGUACACUACAGUUGAUGAGUACCUCAAUCAGUUUGUGUAACCCUUCUCUGUUUCCAGCUGCAGCUUGCAGGAUCUUGGACUGUUGGUAAAUAAAUAAUUGGCUUGUUGCCAUCUUUGGUUUUAUAUGUAAAAAUUAUGGUUGUUGGCCUUACUUUCUUCUGGUUGUCCAUGGAAUUUGUUAGACCAUAUUAUGUUUGCUAUGUCAGUGAUCAAAUGAAGUAGGCCAUGUACUUGAUUUGAGAGUAGUAGUUAUAAAGCCAUCAUGAUCAGGUGGGUGCGUAGGUUGGGCUUCUAUUAGGGUGCGUGUGUUGGGCUUCAGGGGCUUGUGAUAUGGGUUCGACAGCCCCUAACGGGCAGUCAUUAUAAAAAUAAUUAUAGAGUUACAAAUCUAUGUAAAAAGCAAAAAUUAAAAGUAAUUUAUCAAUAAAAAUAAUUAAAAUUAAUAAAAAGUAGGUAUGAUAAUUCAGAAAUUAAAUUAAAGAUAGAAUUCUAAAGAGUUGGAUAAUCCUCCAACUAAACUAAAGAUCUAGUACUUUUGAGAGCAAAUUUAAUUAAAGAAAAGGAUAAGGAAAAACAAUAGAAUAAUAAUAUUAAAAAAUUGCAAAUCUUGGUCUUUUUUUUUUACGAUGAUGUUGAAUUCUUAUAAAUUUAAUCUUAUCUAUAGAAUUAUUUAGUUACUGUAUGUCAAAAUUUCCUAUAAAGAUGAAGAAAAAUUAUAUUAGGAGAAGAUCCAAAUCCGUUUAACUGAUGCAUCAUCGACAACAUGAGUACAACAUUUUCGAAUAAACAAAAGAAACUCGUUUUAUGUGUGAACCAGUUCCAAAAUAAAGAGCAGACUAUUGGAAGGAGACAAAUACUACAAGAAGAACAAAACAUUCUACAAUUCCUACAUGAGCCCGCAACAAUUAAUUAUUAACUCGACAUUCAUUACACUUUUUCUUUAAUUUGACAAAGAAACCAAAAAUAAGAUAAAAUUGACUAAGAAAUAAAAAAAUGACAAAAAUCUUUUUGAAGUUUUGCCAGUUCAGCCAUGCACGCUUAUCUUUAUUCACUUGUUUCCUUUCUUUCCUUUCUUUCCUUUCUUUCCUUUCUUUGCUGAAGCCUUCACAGAUCCUUUACCUUUCUGAGCCUUGCCAAUUUUCCCCUUCUUCAAACCACCUGGCCUUGCUGGAUCCACGUGUCCUUGCAUCCUUUUUCAUUCGUGGAUCAACAAGAAUCUCCCCCUUUCCAGCUCUCUCUUGAACUCCUUGCUUUGCGACCAUGUAUUCUUUGGUAGGCCUUUUGGGUAUAGUUGUCUUGUAUAAUUGUUCAAUUUGAUUCCUCUUCGAACGAUCAGAGAUGUCCGCUUAGUCUGAUAUGACAUUUGCCUUCUUGCGAACCUUCUCAAGAUUUCGCAUGGCAACCCGUAUCUUUCGAGCUUUGGUCUUAGCCACCUUCUUGGCAGUAUGGGUGGGCGAUUCGAUUUUGGGAUAAACUUUUGGUUUCGUAUCGGUUUAGAUUAAAAAAUAAUAUAAAAAAAUAUUUAGAUUUUAAGGGAAAAAAUCCGAACCGAGACUCACCUAUCGAUUUUGGCUCGGUUUCAGUUCAGUUUUGAUUCUCCUAAUAGUUUUAUUUUGCCUUAUUGACUUCCGGUCAAUGACACUUUUGAAAAAUUUACAAAAAAAAAAAAAAUGGCCAUAACAAAAUUUCUAAAUGCAAAUAUUUCCUAAACAUUAGGCUAUACUAAAUUUUUUUAAAAGGUAGGGAUCCAAACGAUAUUAUCCCUCUACUUCAUCUUCAACCUUCGUCACUAGGGAUGGCAAAAUUCAGGUUCGGGUUCGGGUCCGGGUUUAGCCAUUCGGGAUCCGGACCCGGAUGAAUAUUUUCUGUAUCGGACCCGAAAAUAAACCCGCAUUUUUCCACUCCGAGUCUGGUACGGGUUCAACCCGAAAAAAUUCGGGUUCCCAGACUGCGGGUUUCCAACCCGAAUUGAUGAAUCCAAUUGAAAAAAAAAAACUAAAUUCAACUAAAAAAAUCAAAUAGAAAUACAUAUCCAGGAUUUUAGCAAAUCAAAGAAAAAUUAUUUCAUCUGGAAACUAAUUAACAAAAACAACAAUUUUGUUUGGCUGCCCAGAAUCAGCAACCCAAUGUGGCGGCUCGUUCAAAACAUUAGUGUUUUCAACAGAUUUUGGGGUAGGAAAAGCCAAACCUAUCUAGAACAAUGAAUUUGUAUUUUUGGGGGAGAUGAGAUACCUCACUGGUUUGUUGUGUGCGGUGCAGUGUAUCUGAAAUUUGGGGGAUGUGAGAAGGGGAGAGGGAGUGGUAACAAUGGUGAAAGGUCAAAACCAAUAGAGAUGUCCUUCAAAAUGAGCUUCACACCUGUAAAACAGUGAAAUAAAGGUUAGAGGUGAAGCCGGGAUACCCCGGUGUUCACACUCCGAUGCUCAAGUUAGCAAACUCAAGCUUUUAUGACAAAGAGAACUGGCUAGCCCUCUGUAAAUUAGGGUUUAAGGUUCAAGGAAACCUAUUUUUUGGAAUGUGAGUGUUAAUGGUGAGUGAGAGACCUCUUCGAGAAUGAAACAUAGGCGCCUUUAUAUAUGGAGUACCUCAGCUGCCACAUGACGUACCCUUUUUUGGCUAACGUCAUUUUUCCUUUUUAUGAUUUUUGGGUCGUUAUGUGCAUGUUCGCGGGGUAUCUCAUCUUUUGGAAACGUGGCGCGCGCUGGAGAGUGGUCCAGGGUACCUCUGCAGUAGCUGUCGGGUAGGCAGCUGAAGACCACUGUCCUUGGGACAAUGUCCUUCACUUUUGGUAAAGGUGACAGGCGGUUGUCCCCCUUUUUAACACGACAUUUUUUAUUCCUAAUUAUGACAAAAUCGAAUAAUAUCUUUUAAGAGAUGGAGACGUUUCUCAUGGUGGAUAUUUUCAGAGGAUUCUCUUGCAUCUGAUCAGCCGGGUUCCUCCAGUUAUGCAGGGUACCUCUAAUUUUACGGGGUACCUCUAUUUGCGCAGGGUACCUUGAAUCAUGCUAGGUACCUUAGAUUAUGCGGGGUACCUCAUAUUGUGUGGGGUACCUCUAAUUGUGCGGGAUACCUCUAUUUGCGCUAGGUACCUUGAAUCAUGCUGGGUACCUCAGAUUGUGCGGGGUACCUCUAUUUGUGCAGGGUACCUUGAAUCAUGCUGGGCACCUCAGAUUGUGCGGGGUACCUUUAGUCAUGCGAGGUACUUUUAAUCAGGCCAGGUACCCUCUAAUUGUGCUGAGUACCUCUAAUCAUGCAGGGUACCUCUAAUCAUGCGGGGUACCUCUAAUCAGGCCGGGUACCUCAGAUUGUGCGGGGUACCUCUAUUUGCGCAGGGUACCUUGAAUCAUGCCGGGUAUCUCAGAUUGUGCGGGGUACCUCAAAUUGUGUGGGGUACCUCUAAUCGUGCGGGGUACCUCUAAUCAUGUCGGGUACCUCGGAUUGCACUGAAAUUAUUCCAUUCGUUGACACGUGGCGUUAUGCUAUCUUUCUUAUUUUUCCCCCAAACAACAUCCCUCUAGUUUCUUUUGGCAAGAAGUUUUGGAGGCAAAAGAAACUUACAUAAAAAGUAGGAGCGACACGUGGCGAUAUGAUGUUUAGCUCGAUGGAUAACUAAAUAGAGGGCGCCUCUAGGGGUACCCUGAGAACCCAAAAAGGGAAGAUGGGCUCCAUUUCCUCGGAAAUGGCUACCACUUUGGACAUGUUGGAAAUGAUAGAGCUAAUUGAUCAAAAAAAUUUCAUCUAUUUCUGGGGAAGAACACCAAAUACGGGUAGAGGGUAUCGUUAGGGUACCCCACCAUUAUCCAUAGUUUGUUUUCUAGUGACUGCCAUGUAUAAAUCGCUCUGGUGAAGGCUUCAAUACAUUCUUUGGGCAUUUAAGAAGCAAUUAUUUGAUUAUCUCGGGAUCCACCUUAUUUAAGGGUAUAUUUCCUUCAUGUGCUUCGAAGAAAAAAAUAAAAUCACAGGGCCUUCUUCCUUGUAACUUCAGAGGUACCAUCGACAGAAGAACAUAGUCGACAAUGCUUUUAAGCGUAUCAUGAUCGAGGAAUGGAGUGCUGAUCUGGGGUUGGUGGUGCCAAGAGUGGAGAAGAUGGUAGAUGAACCGGCUAUCUUGAAGGCGAUUAAUGAUAGCGGGGCUCCCAACACAUCUUGGUCUGAAAGCCCAUUGAGAUCAGCUGAGGUACCUCAGAUGAGGUAUCUAUAAGGUACCCCUGAUACUAACCCUUGUGUUUUUGCUACUUUUAGCACUUUAUUGAUCCCUUCAUCCUAAGGGAUGAAGUUGAAGAUAAAUAUCCUGUUGUAUAACCUUGUUCGACAUUACUGACAAGAUGUAUGGGGUACCUUGUUAGCCUAUAUGGCUAUAAAUAUUGAUUUUGAUGAUAACAAACCACAUGUAUUUAUUGAGUAAAGAUUUAUGAAUUGUGCUUUUAUAAUGAGAAAAUGAUGUUAUGGAAUUAAAUCUUUUUGAACUAAAAUGAAAGUAAUUUUAAAAUCUUUGAUAGUAUUUUAAAUUUCGGAUUUGUACAUAUUUGAAACUAUUUAAAUGUUUUUAGGUCAUUUUGUAAUUUCACAAAGUUUGGGCGAAGUCAUAAUUUCAUAAAGUUGUGGGAUUGAGAAAGCAUUAUCUAAAAUUAUGAAAUUGGACAUAUUUGCAAACGUUUAUAACGUUUUGGGCCAUACCACAGUUUUAUAAAGUUUUAGGGUCAAAUUGAAAAUAUUAGAAAAUUUUCACUGUAGCAGGUUACUGUAGCAAGCAGCUUACCGGAUUCAGAAAAUCAGAAAUCCGGAUUCGAGGCAGUAAGCAUCCAGAACCAAAACGGCUUACCGGAUUCCUGAAUCCGGCAAACCGGUUAGGCAAAAUUUUGAAUUUUGCCUUAACGGUAACAUAAAUCCGGCUUACCGAAUUCUAUAAAAUGGCAAACUGGAUAGCCUAGAAUGUGAGUAACGGCUAGUUUUCGAGCUCAAGCUAUAAGAACUCAAAUCCAACUCAUUUUGAAGCUCUCCAACAAGCAAGAACAAAAAGCACACGUGAUAUCUUGAGCCUUCAACUUGUAAAACACAAUUCAUUGAAUCAUUCAUUGUUCUUCAUCUUUGAAUAUCUACUCAUUGAGUGAGUUUCAUUGUAUCUUUCAUUUCUUCAAUUCAUUUGUAAGAGUUUGAGUGUGUGAGACACUUGAGUGAAGAGAUUGGGAGAUAAUCUCUUUGUUGUAAAGGUUUAUUGACACCUCGAAGUCAAUUGUAAUCGUUGAAGCCUUGGAAAGGCUUGGAUAGUGAAAUCCUCGAGCUUGGAUCGCUUGGAGGCGUGGACGUAGGCGGGGAUUACCGAACCACGUAAAAAUUCGUGUGUUUGUUUCUCUUCUCCCUUACUCUUUAAUUAUUGUACCAUUAUUGAACUUAUUACUUUCAAUUAUUGUUAAGACAUUAGAUUGCUUGUUGUGUGGAUUUGUUAGGAUAAUUUUUAAAAAUCCAAUUCACCCCCCUCUUGGGUUGCACACUUGUAUUUCAUACCUCAUGUACCCUAAUGCUUGGAUAUCCCUUGAGCUAUCUGUUACUUCAUGGCGGAAUAACCCAAUUGCAUCAAACAUAUGGCGAUUCUUCCAGAUAUGCUUGUCGCUUAUCUUAAGCUUUCUUAGGGUUCCUCCUGGUGUAUCUGAGGAAUAGCUUUCUGGCGUGGGGUACCCUUAAUCAGCGUAUGGUGAUUUUCAUAGAAAUGCUUGCCGCAAAUCUUCACAAAACUUGUUGCGGUUGCUUUUGAGAGAUUGUGCGGGGUACCUUGAAUCAUGCCGGGUAUCUCAGAUUGUGCGGGGUACCUCAAAUUGUAUGGGGUACCUCUAAUCGUGCGGGGUACCUCUAAUCAUGUCGGGUACCUCGGAUUGCAGUGAAGUUAUUCCAUUCGUUGACACGUGGCGUUCUGCUAUCUUUCCUAUUUUCCCCCAAACAAUUAGUAAAGAGAGCUAAAGAACUAGCUUUAGUUACGAGCAGAAAAUCAGAAGUCAAGGAGCAGCCAAAGCACUUUUAAUGGUGAUGGUAAAACUAGAGAGGUAAUGCAAAUAAGUUUACGUUGAUUGGAUAUUCAGAAGAAGUAAUACGCCAUUAAAAGCAACAAGUUUUCCAAAAAGCCAACAAAGACAGAGACCACCACACCACCCCGCACUGGAUGAAAAACGAUGAAAGCAUGAUAAGUGGCAUCGAGUAAGCCACGUUCUCUCUCUCUCUCUCUCUCACUCGCACUCGCACUCGCACUCGCACACACUGUUACUAAAAUGACCAAAAAUAAGAUUCCCAUCAAAAUAUUUUCGAGUAUCGUUCUUGAAAGUGGCGGCGGCUGAUGAUGAUGAACACAGCCGCGAUUGCGAUUGGCGAAGGCGGCGUUCUGCCCGUAUCACAGCUAGUUAUCGGUCGCGGCAGAAAAGAUAAUGAAACGACGGCUGAUGAUGAUGAUGAUGAUGUUGAACAGCCGCGAAUAUGGGUAAGUGAUGCGACGAUGAUUUGAUUUGAUGAAGAUGAGCUGAACAUGGAAUAAGAGAGGAAAUGUUUGUGCGGCUGGGAAAGUGUAAUGAACUGCUAGGGCACCAUUUGGGUUUUUUUGCUUUCCUAUUUAUAUUAAAAAUAAUUUUUAAAAAUUAAUAUAUAUCCGGGUUCGGGUUUUGGAUGUACGGGUUUACCUAGACCCGGACACAUGCGGAUUCAGCAGCACCGACCACCCACAGACUUGGAUUUGAUUACAAAGUUGGGACUUAGGAUUUGGGUUUGUGGCUGCCGAAACAGAAAGUGAGAGAGUAGAAAGUAGAGACUGAGAGUGGUGCAAACAUGUGUAAUUUUGUGUGUGUGUCUAUAUAUAUAUAAUGUGAAAUUACAAAAAUGCCAUUAUAUCAGUUCAAUUCGAAUUUUGUAACUUGUGAUCCGAAAACUGAACCAAACCGAACCAUUUGGUUUGGUAUUUAUAUAUUCAGGUUUUUAAUUUAAAAAAACUAAAUUGAAAUUGAAAGAACUAAACCGAACCGAAUUUUUUUUUUUUUUGUUUCGAUUCAAUUAUGCCCAUCCCUACUUAGUAGGCUGGGUAUCAAUUUCUUUGAAUUGUGCUUUCAUUGCAGUAAUCUCCUCCUUGGUAAUAGGUUUAAUUGCUUGCUGAUGCCACCUUUCCUCUAGUAACAACUAGUCUAACAAGCCAUCAUCGUCAAACAUGUACCUAUUAUAAGCAUCAUCCAGAAUUUGCUCUCUUUGCUUUUUGCUUAGUGUCUUCUUUGCACAAGCUAUUAUCUUAGCUUUUGUAUCAAUAUCUUUAUCUUUUGAUUCACCAGAGGAUGAAUCAUCACCGGAAUAGAGUGGUGAAGGCCCCAUAGAUUAGUGUGAUCAAGUUCUAGUGUAGUUUUGGUUUUGAUUUCAGUAUUAGGAAAAUGAAGCCUAUGAAAUUUACCAAGCUAACAUGCUUCACAAAAGUGCUUUAAUACUUGACUAUGAAUACUUGAAGAGGAUAAAUGAGGAUAAAUAAAUUUAAAUAUACAUUAGAUUUUGAGGGUUGGGAUGUCAAAACUUUUGGUGAAAAAGAGUUAGUACAAGCAUUUUUAUUGAGAUUGAAAACAUUUCUUAAGAUGAUCAAUACUAGUUACAAAAUUGGAAUGAAAAAAAAAAGGCAACAUAGACAAAGGUUUGUUUAUUUGAUUGUAAGAUAGAAAAGACUUGUAUUUAGGUUGUGGAAAGGAUUUGAGCAGCAAUUUAUACAACCUUUUCUCAGCAAAACCUUCCUCUUCAAUGAAUCCUUCACAAAACAAAUAGAUCCAAGAAAUUCGACAAAUAAAUUGUUGUCAAUGGUAAGUUUUGAAAUGCUCAAUAGAUUCUUUGUAAUGGAUGGAACAAACAGUACAUCCUUAAGUAAAAUAUGUCUUAUAUUAUCUUUUUUUAAUUCUUUUUAAAAAAAUAAGUGAAUAAUAGUAUGUCAAUCUCAAAUAUCAAUAUGUACAAUUUUUAUUUGUGUAAGAAUUUGCAUCCAAUAAUCAUCAAUACAUAAUUGUCUUUUAAUUGAAUGGUUCUCACCUCCCUUCCAAACUUUGAAAAGGUAAAAUAAGAUCAAUCAUGUCAGUGGCAAUUAAUAUAAAGAUUACUUUUCUUAUUUGUAGUAACGUCCUCUGAUUAUUUAGCUGAUUUUCAAGCUACACAUUUAUUCCAUUUGAUGUUGAUAUUAGUAAAAUUAAUGUAAUAUUUAAAAAGGAAAAAAAUCCGUCGAGCUAAAAGCCGAGUAUAAAAUUGAACCAGACCCAAACCAGAAACGCACGCCAACAACAUGUUUGCGUCAGUCGGCCCAUGCCCAUAAACCCACCAAGCCCGAUCCAAAUAGAAAAAUGAAUUGGACACCCGAGAUAGCAGAAACAGAUAAGUAACGGUCGUGCUAUCCCCAAUCUCAUAUCUUCAACGGUAUCCAGCCAACAUCUCAAAGUGUUCAAUUUUUUUUUAAGCCAAAAAAAAAUUCAAAAUUUUCAAGCGGAAUCUGGGAAGAUAGCGAUGAAAAGCAAGAUUCUGGUUAUCGGCGGAACCGGAUACAUCGGUAAGUACUUAAGGUGCGUUUGAAAUUGAGGUUGAGCAACUAUAACUUUAAAACUGCAGCACUAAAAUAUUUGGUAAACACUAAUUGUUGUAACUUAAAAGCUAUUUAAUAUAAUUUUUCACUUGUAUAAUAAAAAAUUUAUUAUCUUUAAUAAUUUUGUCAAAAUUAUUAUUUAAAAUAUAUACAGUAAGAGAGAUUGUAACAUUUUCAAUCUUUGGUUUGAUAUUCUGGAAGAAAACGAUUUGCCGUUUAUGGAGAAAACUGCUAACCGUUUAAUUUCAGAGAGCAUGUUUUCUAUUCUAGAGAAAACGGCUAACCGUUUGGAGAAAACGGCUAACCGUUUGGAGAAAAUGGCUAACCGUUUGGAGAAAACGGCUAACCGUUUAAUUCCAGAGAGCAUGUUUUCUGUUCUAGAGAAAAUGACUAACCGUUUGGAUAAAACGGCCAACCAUUAAUUACAGAGAGCAACUUAUUUGACAUUCUGGAAUAAAACGGCUCACCGUUAUUGAGAAAACGGCUAACCGUUUAUUUCCAGAGAGCGUGUUUUUGCGUCAACUGGAAAAACGGUUAGCAAGCUUAGAAAUUUCAAUUGUCAAUCGAUGCAAACUCAAACCAAAAGAGUGUUUUUUUGAAGAAGUACUAUUUUUAAUGGUUGUAUUCUUUCAAAUAAACAUCUUCUUUAUUAAAGAUAGACAAACUAUUAUAUCAUAAUUAGAUUUUGCAGGUUUCAUAUAUGUUCUGGAAAUACAAUCUUAUUUUUUAGAGAUUGUAUUCAGGAUUUGAUAUAUCUUAGGGGUAAUUUGCCAUUAAAACUCUAUAGCAAACCAAGAUUGGUGAGGGUAAAUAAAACCUUAAAGAAAAAUGUGCAAACACGUCUCAAAUCCUAAGAAAUUUUCUUUGUUCUUUGCCUCCAUAUUCUUAAAAUUUGAAAAUUCACCCAUCAAUCUUUAAGGUUUUAUUUUGAUGCAAAUAGAGGCUGAGAAGAGUUUGACGUCAUUUCUUAAUCCUAGUGUCCAUCUCGAUCGUUUUGAUGGAACAAAUUUCACUCGUUGGAAGGAAAAAUUGUUCUUUCUUCUUACUGUUCUUAAAGUGGCAUAUGUUCUUAAUCCGAAAUUGGAACCAUUUCCAGAACCAAGGGAAGAUGAUACCGAAGUUGUUAAGGCUGUAAGGAAACGUCGUGAAGAUGAUGAAUUGAUGUGCCGGGGUCACAUACUCAAUACGCGUUCUGACAGGUUAUAUGAUCUCUACAAUUUUAUGACUUCUUCGAUGGAAAUUUGGAAUGCUCUUGAGUACAAAUACAAAACGGAGAAAGAAGGUACUGACAAAUUCCUUGUCUCUAAAUAUUUUGAAUUUAUUAUGGUAGACACACAAUCCAUUCUUGAUCAAAUACAUGAGUUAUAAAUUAUUGUUGCUAAGCUUCGAGAGUUAAAAGUUAAAAUUUCUGAAUCAUUUCAAGUUGGGACUAUUAUUGCUAAAUUGCCUCAAAGUUGGAAUGAUUAUAGAAAGAAACUCCUUCAUAGUAAAGAGAACAUAACUUUAGAAGAAUUGCAAAAACACUUGGUAAUUGAAGAAGAGACUAGGUCUCGCGAAUCCAAGGAUAAACAUGAUUCUACUAAAGUUAAUGUUCUUGAAGCUAGUAAAUUCUCAAAGAAUUUUAAAGUCAAGAAUGACAAGAAAUUUAAGAGGUCCAGCACACAAAAGUUUUCUGGAAAUUGUUUCUUUUGUGGUAAGAAAGGUCAUCGCCAAAGUGAUUGCAGAUUCAAGAAAAAAAAAGAAGAAGUGAAUUCCUAUAAAGCUAAUGUUAUUGAAAACAAAUCUGAAAAGAUUUGUGCUAUGGUUUCUGAAAUACAAAUUGGCAUGAUUAUCGAAACCAAUAUGGCUGAAACUAAGUCCUAUGAUUGGUGGCUCGAUUCGGGUACAACAAUUCAUGUUUGUAAUGAUAAGAAAUUUUUAUUAUCAUACAAAGAAGAAACGGAAGGACAAAUGGUUCUCAUGGGGAACAAUAAUGCAGCCAUAGUAGCAGGGAAAUGAGUAGUUGAGAUCAACUUCACUUCUAGAAAGAAAGUCACAUUGUAUAAUGUCUUUCAUGUACCUUCCGUUAGGAAGAAUCUUAUUUCUGCUAGUUGUAUGUGUAAGCAUGGGCUUAAGAUUGUGCUUGAGGGUAAUACUUGUAUUAUCUCAAAGAAUGAAUUAUUUGUUGGGAAAGGGUAUUCUUGUGAUGGAAUGUACAAACUCAACAUUAAUAAUAAUAAUAUCAACUUAGCUUAUAUUGUUGAGUCUUGUGAUGUUUGGCAUGCUAAAUUAGCACAUUUGAAUUUUAGAUCUUUGAAAUACAUGUCUGAGCAUGGUUUGAUUAAUUGCAAUGAUGUUAAAGGUCAUAAGUGUGAAAUCUGCAUCCAAGCUAAAUUAACUAAGAAACAUUUUCUUAAAGCCGAACGAAAUACUCAAAUAUUGGAUUUAAUAUAUACCGAUAUUUGUGAGUAUAAUGGCGUUUUAACAAGAGGAGGUAAGAAGUACUUUAUCCCUUUUAUUGAUGAUUGUUCUAGAUACACUUAUAUGUAUUUACUUAGAACAAAAAAUGAAGCUUUUGAUAAAUUUAAAAUUUUCAAAGCUGAAGUUGAGAACCAAAAAGAUAAGAAAAUCAAAAUGGUUCGUAGUGAUAGAGGUGGUGAAUAUUUCUCAAUUGAAUUUAAUAAUUAUUGUGAAGAAUUUGGAAUUAUUCACCAAAGAUCAGCUCCAUUUACUCCUCAACAAAGUGGUUUGGCUGAAAGAAAGAAUAGGAUCUUCACGGAUAUGAUAAAUUCCAUGAUCCAUAAUGCAAAACUACCAAAUAAUUUGUGGGGGGAAGCAUUACUCACUGCAUGUCAUAUUCAUAACAGAAUUACAUCUUUGAAAACACAUAUAUCUCUUUAUGAAAUUUGGAAAGGAAGAAAACCAAACUUGAUGUAUUUAAGGGUCUAGGGUUGUUUAGCUUUUUAUAAAAUACAUGAUCCUAAAUCAUCAAAGUUAAGUGCUAGAUGUAUAAAGAGUGUUUUCGUAGGAUAUGCUGAAAAUUCUAAGGCUUAUAGGUUGUUAGAUUUAGAUUAUAAUGUGAUUGUGGAAUCUAGAGAUGUUGAAUUUAUUGAGAAUAAAUUUCAACAUGAUUCUAAUAUUGAAUUAGAAUCAAUUAUUGAUCAACCAUGUGUUAAUACUCCUGUUACCUCCACUAACAAUAAUAAAAGGAAAGAGUCUAUGACAUCUUUCGAACCAAUGAGGAGUCAACGUGAAAAGAAAGAAAAGAGUUUAGCUCCGGAUUUUAUUUCAUCACAAGCACUACUCUUCUUGGUUGAAGGGGAUAGAAAGAAUGUACUUAACAAAGUACCAUUAUUGUUAAAUAUUGAAAAAGAUCCAAAGACAUUUAGCGAAGCUAUGUCUUCUAGAGACGCUUCUUUUUAGAGAGAGGCGGUAAAUGAUGAAAUUGAUUCGAUUAUUUCGAAUCAAACAUGGGUCUUGGUUGAUCUUCCUCCAGGAUCUAAACCAAUUAGCAGCAAAUGGGUAUUUAGAAGAAAGUACAAUAGUGAUGGUUCUUUGCACACUUUUAAGGCUAGAUUAGUAGCCAAAGGGUUUAAGCAAAGAAAUGGUAUUGAUUAUUUCGAUACAUAUGCUUCGGUAGCAAGGUUAACUUCUAUAAGAGUGCUAUUUGCAAUUGCUUCAUUGAACAAUUUGUAUGUGCAUCUAAUGGAUGUUAAAACCGCUUUUCUUAAUGGUGAUCUUGAUGAAGAAAUCUAUAUGGAACAACCUGAGGGAUUUGUUUUACCAGGAAAUGAGAAAAAAGGUAUGCAAAUUAGUCAAAUCACUUUAUGGUUUAAAGCAAGCACCAAAACAAUGGCAUGAGAAGUUUGAUUCGGUAAUUUUAUCUCAUGGUUUUAAGCAUAAUAAUGCUGAUAAAUGUAUAUAUUUUAAAUUUACGAAUGAUUUUGGUGUGAUUAUAUGCUUGUAUGUUGAUGACUUGCUUAUCUUUGGGACAAAUAUGCAAGGAGUAGAUGAUACAAAGAAGUAUUUAACUUCACAAUUUAAGAUAAAAGAUCUUGGUGAAGUAGAUACUAUCUUAGGUGUCAAAGUGAAGAAACAUAGUGAGGGUUACUCGUUGUGUCAAUCUCAUUAUAUAGAGAAAGUGCUUCUUAAAUUCAAUUAUUUGAAAUUUAAAGAAGCUAAUACCCCAUAUGAUUCUAGUAUUAAAUUAUUAGAGAAUUCAGGCCGAGUAGUAGCACAACUAGAAUAUGCUAGUGCUAUUGGUAGCUUGAUGUAUGCUAUGCAUUGUACGAGGCCUGAUAUAGCAUUUGCAGUUUGCAAAAUGUCAAGAUUCACGAGUAACCCUAGUGUUGAACACUGGAAAGCAAUUGGUAGAAUACUUGGUUAUCUUAAAAGGACCAUUCAUUUGGGUUUAUUUUAUAAUGAUUAUCCUGAAGUACUGGAAGGAUAUUCAGAUGCUAGUUGGGUAACCAAUACAAGAGAUAAUAAAUCCACUUCUGGUUGGAUUUUUACAAUUGUUGGAGGAGCAGUUUCCUGGGCUUCAAAGAAACAAACGUACAUAACUCAUUCAACAAUGGAAAGUGAGUUUAUAGCACUCGCAGUUGCAAGCAAGGAAGUAGAAUGACUGAGAAAUUUGUUGUUUGAUAUAAUGUUAUGGCCACAACCGAUGCCAUAUAUUUCUUUGUACUGCGAUAGUGAAGCUACAUUGUCUAGAGCUUAUAAUAAAGUGUAUAAUGGAAAGUCUAGACAUAUUAGCUUGAGACAUGAAUAUGUGAAACAAUUAAUAGCAGAUGGUGUUAUUAAUAUUGUUUAUGUUAGGACUAAUAAGAACCUAGCGGAUCCUUUAAUAAAAGGUCUUACAAGAGACUUAGUUAAGGAUACAUCUUUUGGAAUGGGAUUGAAACCUUUAAAUAAUAAAGUCACCAACGACGAUAACCCAACUAUGUAGUAGUUGUACCGCUACUCCAUAGUUAAAUGGAUAAUAACAAGUUGUUGUUAUGUGACUGGUUUGGCACCGAGUAAUAAAUAAUCACAUUCGAGAUAUUCGGUGCAAAUAGCUACGAGGUUGAGGUUGAGUAUUUAUUCUUAAUGAAGUUCAAGUCUUAUAGUAGCUAAAGACAUGAUUUGAAACUUCACCUAAGUGAACAUAAGAAAUGGUGCCGUUUCUAACAAGAUCAUGGUUUAAUCUAGUAAAUGUUCAUGAAUUCAAGAUAGAGCACAAGGCCGGAAUAGUGCUAAAUAUUGGAACACAACUUUGAAAAUCUGGGAUAGCUUAUAUGUGAUGUAUCUCCGGUAUUUACUUAAGAGACAAAGUUUAAUGCUUAGCACAUUAUUGUCUUGUAAAUGCUUUGAAAUACACUCACUAAUUAAAGGUUAAAAUCGAAAGAUAUCUUUUUGUAUGUAUAAGUUUAUCAUUAAUAAAUAUGAAAAAUAUUACAAUCUAGUGGGGGAUUGUAAGAGAGAUUGUAACAUUUUCAAUCUUUCGUUUGAUAUUCUGGAAGAAAACGGUUUGCCGUUUAUGGAGAAAACGGCUAACUGUUUAAUUCCAAAUAGCAUGUUUUCUGUUCUAGAGAAAACGACUAACUAUUUGGAGAAAAUGGCUAACUGUUUAAUUCUAGAGAGCAUGUUUUCUGUUCUAGAGAAAGCGGCUAACCGUUUGGAUAAAACGACCAACCGUUAAUUACAGAGAGCAACUUAUUUGACAUUCUGGAAUAAAACGGCUCACCGUUAUUGAGAAAACGGCUAACCGUUUAUUUCCAGAAAGCGUGUUUUUGCGUCAAUUGGAAAAACGGUUAGCAAGCUUGGAAAUUUCAAUUGUCAAUCGAUGCAAACUCAAACCAAAAGAGUGUUUUUUUGAAGAAGUACAAUUUCUAAUGGUUGUAUUCUUUCAAAUAAACAUCUUCUUUAUUAAAGAUAGACAAACAAUUAGAUCAUAAUCAGAUUUUGCAGGUUUCAUAUAUGUUCUGGAAAUACAAUAGAUCAUAAUCAGAUUUUGCAGGUUUCAUAUAUGUUCUGGAAAUACAAUCUUAUUUGCUAGAGAUUGUAUUCAUGAUUUGAUAUAUCUUGGGGGUAAUUUACCAUUAAAACUCUAUAGCAAACCAAGAUUGGUGAGGACAAAUAAAACCUUAAAGGAAAGUGUGCAAACACGUCUCAAAUCCUAAGAAUUGUUUUUUGUUCUUUGCCUCCAUAUUCUUAAAAUUCGAAAAUUCACCCAUCAUAUACAUACUACAUAUUAUUAACUUUUGUUUUAUAACUAUAGUGUUUUUUUUUUACCGCAACUGUAGUUUAAAAACUACAGCACCUCAAUCCCAAACAAGACCUUAGUGGAAGCGAGCGCAAAAGCCGAUCACCCAACAUUCGCGCUUGUGAGAGACUCCACUCUCUCCACUCAUUCCAAAUCCAAAAUCCUCGACCGUUUCAAAAAUCUCGGCGUCAAUUUAGUUCUUGUGCGCCACUCUUUUAGCUUUCCAAUUUUCCCGCCAAUUUUCUUUUAUUGUGAUUAAUUAAUUAAUUAAUUAAUUAAAGUAAAGAUUUUAUAUUAUAAUUUUGUUUGCAGGGAGAUCUAUACAGCCAUGAGAGCUUGGUGAGUGCAAUAAAGCAAGUGGAUGUUAAGGUAAUGAUUAACUUAAGUAAAUGCGUUAACUAAUUACUUGGGAUUUUAAAUUCAAAUGCGUGAAUUGUUCUAAAAAAUGAUUUAUGUUUAUUAGUCAGAGAUUCUUUCCUUCAGAAUUUGGAAAUGAUGUUGAUCGCGUGCAUGCCGUUGAGCCAGCAAGAACAUCAUUUGCCACCAAGGCUAAAAUCCGCCGAGCUGUUGAGGCUGAAGGAAUUCCAUACACCUACGUAGCUUCCAAUUUCUUCGCUGGUUUGUAUCUUUCCAGUUUCUCACAGCCUGAAGCCACAGCUCCUCCAAGGGAUAAAGUGGUCAUCGUAGGUGAUCGAAAUGCAAAAGGCAAAGCGCUUCUGGAUACAUUUACUCUGUACACGCAAUGUGUGGUUACUGUUUGGGGAUAAAAAAGGAGAUUAAUUAAUAAAGAAAAUGAAAUUAUUGAGGGAUUUGCUGAAGAGUUGCGUGCACUCCUCAUUUUUCUCCACCACUCAUCUUACUUGCAAAAUGCAAUGACCAAACUAUCCUCGCCAAAGCCUAGACAUUUACUUGUGUUCAAAGGCCAUUUAAGAGAGACAAGUACAAAAAAUUAUAAAGGAUAGUGAGCAAAAGAAGAAAAUGGAAGGAGGGGAGAAUAAAAAAUGGGAGUGGGGCGUUAUCUAGGGAGGAUUUUUAUUUUUAUUUUUUUUCCUCUCUUCUCCAUGGCAUCUCUUUCUCUCUUUCUCCCACUAAGAAAUUCUUUCUUUUACACUCUAUUUUACUUUUAUUCAAAUUACACAAAAAACUUUUGGUUUUAAGGCAAUGUUUAUUAAGCCACGUGAAUUUGAAAAAGCAGGAAUAAGGGGAUGAUUUUAACACAUUAAUUCACCAACAUUAAUUGGAAAAGAUCAGUUGCCACUUCGAAUCAGAGUAAUUUCUUCGGCAAUAGCCAAAUAUUGAUAUUUGAUCUUGACACUGUAGUUAAAUCAAUGUAACUGGUUUUGUCAUUUGAUCCCCAGUAAUUUUUAACAAGGAAGACGAUAUUGGAAUUAAUUCUAUCAAAGCGGUGGAUGAUCCGAGAACACUGAACAAAAUACUUUACAUCAGACCCCGUUGCAAUAUCUACUCAUUUAAUGAUCUUGUGUCUCUGUGGGAGGAAAAGAUUGGCAAAGCCCUUGACAGGGUCUAUGUUACAGAGGAACAACUUCUGAAAAACAUUCAAGGUUAGUUAGAACUAUCACUUUAUCAAGUGCAUAGAUGUAACUGACCGAUAAUGGAAUUUUUUUUCCUUCUCCAAAAUGCGAUAGAAUCUAAUCGGUUUCAACAAUCUCAAGAACACCUAUUCAUGGUUGUGUUGUUUGAAAUCUGUAUGUAUCAGUUUUCUUUCUAGAUCUCAGAUUGCUCGCAAGGAUGUCAAGUUUUGAUGAUGCUUGCCUGUUUUCCUGUGUUUACAGAAGCUUCAUAUCCACUCAAUAUGAUAUUACCUAUUGGGCACUCUGCCUAUGUCCUGGGAGAUCAGACCAACUUCGAAAUUGAACCUUCAUUUGGAGUAGAGGCAACAGAGCUUUAUCCAGAUGUCAACUACACUACUGUGGAUGAGUACCUCAACCAGUUCAUAUAAACCUUCUGAGAUGAGCAGCAGGAUCCUAACAAAAAAUUGGGUGGUUUCCAUCCCUGAUUCUAUGGUAUAAAGAUAGCGGCUUUCCCUGCUUUUGCCAGUUCAAUGAAGUUUGUUAGAUGAUGUUAUUUAUACUAUACUAGCAAAGAUCAAGUUGCCUUUCUUGUCAAGAAGCCAAGCUCUGGCAUUGGUUUAUGCUAGUUUUUCAUGUUUAUUACUUUUUUUGCAUUCAAAAUGAUAAAACUGCAGAGGUUGUUGCAUGCACGUCAUUUGUUAGUAGGGGUAUCAAUUUAUGAACGUAUGAAGUAUCUCUUCUGCAACGGCAUCCUCCUUAACUGUCAGUAGGAUCACAAUAAGUCGACCAACCAUCUACCGUAUGGAUUAUCUAUAAAUUGAAAUUGGUGUGUAUUAUGGAUCUGUCACUCUGCUGUUUCUGUUUUCUUUUCUAUUUUUACCAAGAAAGAAACAUUGUUAAAACUGAAUGGUUGUUAUCUCGUCUUGUUGUAAUGUUGUGUAUGCUUUCUAGAAAAUAAUGAAGUGCCAAAUAUGAAAAUACUAGUGGCUACCUUACCAUCCUUAAUAAGUUGUCUGAUUGUCACCGUCAACAAUCACUCUCAGCAACUCAUAAUCCAUUUAAGCAUAUUAUAAAAUAAUCAAUUUUGUAUUUGCACCAACUUUUAGUUUUAAAUGACAAUUUCGUUGAUCCCCACACUUCUGUACUAAUCAAAUCCACUGAAACUGGACUUUUUUUUCUUUUUUUUUAUAAUUACAUCGAUUGCAUUGGCUAUUGCAGGGAAAAGACUGCCUCUACAGGGAACUAAACUUUCAGAAUUGUUCUUAUGAGGGUUUGAAUAUGCUCUCGUACUAGGUCAAUGGCCUAUUGGUUCGAGACCAUUCACAAAGAAAGAAAUGAGUUUUGCUUGUAUAAAUGAAAGAAAUCCAAAUGAUAACUAAUGUAUAGUGGUACAUGAGAAAAAUAAUUUCAGCCCGUGUAAAGUCAAAAAGAGAAAAUAUUAAAAGAAAGGAUAAUGUCAUUGAGUUCGGUGAAGUGAAAGAAAAUGAAAAACAUGGGAUUUAGUCAAACUUAGUGUCCCAAUCAGCAGAAAAAGGUUUUAGAAACUCACCUCAAGUUAAGCCAACUAUUAGGAGCUUUAUUUAAUCAUGACUUUCUAAUGUAUAGUACUCCAAUACUAAACGAGGGCUACCUCUACGCUUGCAAUUGUAAAUGAAAUUGAGUUCGUGACGCACAAUGAAGUGAGCAAAAUGAGUUGAGAUCUGAGAAUAUAUUAAAGAAAAUAUGAAUCAAUGAAUUUUGGUUAAAAAAAACAAAUGCUGGUUCUUCAAGACCUGCGUGUAUUGUGUAAGUUUUGUUAGGAGAAGGAAAGCAUUUUGGUCUAAAACGCACUAAAUCGGAUUCAUUUGCUUGAUAUCUAAUAAGGGUGAAUUAACCACUCGCCCACAGCAAUUCAAGUCCCAAAAAAAUUAUUGUGGGGGCUAAAUUUCUUCUUUAAUUAUAACAAAUAAUUGAGUGGAGGAUAAAAAUUUAGGCCAUGUAUAACAAUAACUAAUAUAAACUAGUCCUAAUAAUAGUAUAAUUGUAAAUAUCAGUUGUAGUCUCAUACAAUAUAAGUUUAUAGAUUAUAAUAUCGGCAUAAAAAGAAAAAUGAUAUCUGACGGUCAAUCAAUAAAAGGACAAAAACUUGGAGUAACAUACCACAAAGUCAAUGUAGCUGGACAGAUGAAUAUAAUAUGUAAACAAAUUUAAAUGGGAUAAUACCAUACGGUACAUACAUAACAUUUUAAAACUGAAUUAAAAAAAUAAAAUUAAAACUGAAUUGGAAUUCGUAUGUGUAUCCAGCUACCUUGCAACAGUUGUAAGGUACCCUAACUUUGCAACAAUUUCAUCCUUCGUGCAUUCGGUCACAAAGUCCAAAUUAGGCACGUUUAAGAAUCGAACUGAAAAACUAAAAAAAAAGAAUCCGGCGAUAUUUGCGAACCGGAAACGAGCCAGCGUUAUGCUUAUGUCAUUUCAGAGAUAUCAACAGUCGUGCUUUCAGUCCUUAAACCUCAAGGGCAUUUUCGUCCUUUCACUCAAGCGUGAAACUGCAUGUAAGAACUGCUUCGCUUACACGCUCCAUGCACAUUUAAAGGCACCACUGUCGGAUAAAAAAUAUCCAUCCAUUUGAUCAUUUCAAAACAAAACGAAAAAAAAAAUCUCAGUAAUUGAACUGAACGAGUCUCAGAAAUGGCAUCGAAAAGUAAGAUUCUAUUCAUCGGCGGGACAGGGUAUAUCGGUAAAUUCACUGUCGAAGCGAGCGUAAAAGCCGGCCACCCGACGUUCGUGCUCGUGAGAGAAUCCACAAUCUCUGGUCCUUCCAAAUCUCAACUCCUCGAUCACUUCAAAAACCUCGGCGUCAAUCUUGUCAUAGUGCGUUUUCAUUUUUCUCUUUUCUUUAUUUUUUAUUCCGAUCAUUUUUACACGUCGAAGUGUAGCAUCUACUACUUAAUAUACAUAAUGAUAUUAUUAUUUUUUAAUUUUUUUGGGUUGCUGUUAUUAUUAUACAGGGAGAUGUGUUGAAUCACGAGAGUUUGGUGAAGGCGAUAAAACAAGUGGACGCGGUGAUAUCAACAGUUGGUCACACUUUAAUAGCCGAUCAGGUCAAGAUUAUUGCUGCCAUUAAAGAAGCCGGUAACGUUAAGGUAUGACAUAAUUAAUGUAAAUGUCUUAGAUUUCGAUCAGGAUUGUGCACUCGUGCACACGUGGUGAUUUAUUCUUCGUGUGGAGCUCGCUGUAGAGUAGAGCUCCCAGUUCCGCUAAUAAACACCCGUCAGAUGCGCAAUUGCGCCUCAAAAUAAUUUAAUUAAUUAAUUAGGUAUAAACACCGAUGGCAUGAAAGCAAUUAAAAUUAGUUGAUGUUUAUAAAUUAUUUAUUACUCAGAGAUUCUUACCAUCGGAAUUUGGAAAUGAUGUUGAUCGAGUCGAAGGCGCCGUAGAGCCAACAAAAUCGACGUAUGACGUAAAGGCGAAAAUCCGCCGAGCCGUUGAGGCAGAAGGCAUUCCGUACACUUACGUAGAAUCUUAUUGUUUUGAUGGGUAUUUCCUCCCCAAUUUGUUGCAGCCUGAGGCCACUGCCCCCCCUAGGGAUAAGGUUGUCAUCUUAGGCGAUGGAAAUCCAAAAGGUAAUAUAAUUUAAUUAAGCUCUGUUUGUUUGGUAUGUAUUGCGGUGUUAAUGUUAUUGUCUGUUGUACAAUGGAUGGUCUUGCUUGGUACUGUUGUUGGAGAGCUGCAGUGUUUUGAUAAACACCUCUAUAGUCUAUCCUUAUCCUUAGCUUUCAAGUUAAGUUGAUUUUAUACAACACUUGUUUAAUUAAAAACUUGUAAUAUUCUUACUACUUUGAUAAAAAAAAUAUUACGAUUAAAGUAUUAAUGGCACCAUAAUACGAAAUGAAUCUUAAGUGGUCAUUAUAGAUUUUAAGAUAGAGUUUUAAGUGAUUACCAGAUACUUUAGCUGCUGAACCGCCACAUCAUGGUUGCCACACAACAAUUUCAAACAGAACCUAAAUAACUUCAUUGCAAAACAGUUAAAUGAAUCUAACUUAGUUUCGUCGUUUGAUUUUCAGCUGUUUUUAACAAGGAAGAUGAUAUUGGAACCUACACUAUCAAAGCGGUUGAUGAUCCGAGAACCUUGAACAAAAACUUUUACAUUCAGCCUCCCGGUAAUAUUUACUCAUUCAAUGAUCUUGUGUCUCUGUGGGAGAGAAAGAUUGGUAAAACCCUCGAAAAGGAGUAUGUUUCAGAGGAGCAGCUCCUAAAGAAUAUUCAAGGUUGGUUAAAACUCUCUUUUUUAAAUGUAUUAAAGAGAGCCGUAUAUUCUCUGCCGUAAAUGUUAUUGAUCCUGUCUUCUCCAAAAUGUUGCAGAAGCUGCACCUCCACACAAUGUGAUAUUAUCAAUUUAUCACUCUGCUUUCGUGAAGGGAGUUCAAACCAACUUCAAGAUUGAACCAUCUUUUGGAGUUGAAGCCUCGCAGCUUUAUCCUGAUGUCAAGUACACUACAGUUGAUGAGUACCUCAAUCAGUUUGUGUAACCCUUCUCUGUUUCCAGCUGCAGCUUGCAGGAUCUUGGACUCUUGGUAAAUAAAUAAUUGGCUUGUUGCCAUCUUUGGUUUUAUAUGUAAAAAUUAUGGUUGUUGGCCUUACUUUCUUCUGGUUGUCCAUGGAAUUUGUUAGACCAUAUUAUGUUUGCUAUGUCAGUGAUCAAAUGAAGUAGGCCAUGUACUUGAUUUGAGAGUAGUAGUUAUAAAAAGCCAUCAUGAUCAGGUGGGUGCGUGGGUUGGGCUUCUAUUAGGGUGCGUGUGUUGGGCUUCAGGGGCUUGUGAUAUGGGUUCGACAGCCCCUAACGGGCAGUCAUUAUAAAAAUAAUUAUAGAGUUACAAAUCUAUGUAAAAAGCAAAAAUUAAAAGUAAUUUAUCAAUAAAAAUAAUUAAAAUUAA
rnacentral:lncRNA from 1 species